CGUCGAGUGGCGAACGGGUGAGUAACACGUGGGUGAUCUGCCUUGCACUUCGGGAUAAGCCUGGGAAACUGGGUCUAAUACCGGAUAGGACCAUGCUUUAGUGUGUGUGGUGGAAAGUUUUUCGGUGCAAGAUGAGCCCGCGGCCUAUCAGCUUGUUGGUGGGGUAAUGGCCUACCAAGGCGACGACGGGUAGCCGGCCUGAGAGGGUGUACGGCCACAUUGGGACUGAGACACGGCCCAG
rnacentral:rRNA from 1 species